rnacentral:lncRNA from 1 species
GCCAUAGGAACUAUCAAGUACUAGGUGGCUUAGAGCGAUAGAUAUGUAUUCUCUCACAUUCUGAAGUCUAGUUCAAAUCAAGGGUCGUAGCUUCUGGGUGGAGGCCAGCAAUCUUCUCUGUUCUUUGGCGUGCUCACAGAAAUUUAUUUUGUUGAACUUCAAAGAAGUAAAUUGGGGGCAUCACCUGUAAUCCCAGCACUUGGGAGGCUGAGGCAAGAGGAUUGCCUAGACCUUCUCUCUCAAAAAAAAAAAAAAAAA